AUGGGGGUGAUGUCGCGGCGGGUGCUGCCGGCAUGCAGCAGCCUCUGCUACUUCUGCCCCUCGCUGCGGGCGAGGUCACGGCAGCCCGUCAAGCGCUACAAGAAGAUCAUCUCGGAGAUCUACCAGCUGCCCGCGGACGGAGAACCGAAUGACAGAAGGAUCGGGAAACUCUGCGAUUACGUCUCGAGAAAUCCAACCCGCAUACCAAAGAUCACAGAGUAUCUUGAGCAGAGAUGCUAUAAAGAACUGAGACAUGAUAAUUUCACCUUGGCCAAAGUUGUUCCAUGCAUAUAUAGGAAACUUCUGCGUUCAUGCAAGGAGCAUACACCGUUGCUGGCCACAAGCACAUUGUGUAUUGUUCGCACUCUUCUAGAUCAGAAAUCAAGUGAUGAUUUGCAGAUCCUGGGUUGUCUAUUGCUUGUUGACUUUCUCGAUGGACAGGUUGACAGCACACAUAUGUUCAGUUUAGAAGGCAUGAUACCGAAACUAUGCAAAAUUGCUCAAGAACUAAGGGAAGAUGACAAAGGGAUCCGCCUUCGAUCUGCUGCACUCCAAUCUCUCGCUUCAAUGGUCGAAUACAUGGGUGACCACUCGCAUAUCUCAAUGGAACUUGAUGAAGUUGUCUCAGUGAUAAUAAGCUGUUAUGAGGCUAAUCAAACUCUCUCAAUAAAAGAGGUCGUCAGAUUUCAAGAUGAUGAUGAUUUGACAAUGUUGGCAGUAUCUGGGCAAAAUAAUGCCAAAGUGGCAGCUGAUACAAUGGCUGCAACUGAGAAUCCCGCACACUGGGCAAGGGUUUGCUUGCGUAACAUGGCCAAUAUUGCAAAGGAGGCAACAACAGUGCGGCGUAUUCUUGAUCCUCUGUUUCGCCUUUUCGAUAGCCACAAUUACUGGUCUCCUGAAAGUGGGGUUGCCCUUUCUGUUCUACAAGAAAUGCAAACACUGAUGGACAAAUCAGGGCAAAAUGGCCAUUUGCUGCUAUCUUUUACUAUAAAGCACAUUGAUCAUAAAAGUGUUGCCAAGAUGCCCGCCAAGCAAAUCAGCAUUGUAAAAGUUGCUUCUCAUCUUGCAAAGCAGGCAAAGUCGCAUGCAUCAGUAACAAUAGCGAGUGCAAUCAGCGAUUUAGUAAAACACUUGCGAAAAUGUAUGUACCGUGCUGUUGAAGCAUCAAAUGCUCAAGCUGAUAUUGACAAGUGGAACAGUGAACUUUAUGUGGCCUUGGAGGAGUGUCUGGUGCAAUUGACAGAGAAGGUUGGGGAUGUUGGUCCUAUUCUUGACAUGAUCAGUGUAAUGCUCGAGAAUCUCUCGUACACUGCCAACAUCGCCAGGACAACAGUGUCAUCUGUUUACCGCACAGCACAAAUAGCAGCUUAUGUGUACAAGUCAUCAUACAACCAGAAAGCAUUUCCAGAAGCUUUGUAUCACCAGCUUCUCUUAGCAAUGAUGCACCCAGACAAUAAGACAAGGAUUGGCUCACACCGUGUUUUAUCCACCAUUGUCGCGCCUUCGUUGUUAUGCCCAUGGUCAGCCAUAGGUUUUCCUGUCCCAAUGAAGGUCAAUGGGUCGCAGAGUGUGCUUUUGUUGGCAUUGUCAGCUUUCUCUUCUGAGACCAUAAUGGAUGAACUGCAGUCUAAAAGUAGGACCAAGGAAUCCUUGCAGGAAAACGAGAAACCAGAAGCUGUGGUAAGUGCUGAGAAUGGAUAUGCACAUACAGAACCAAAUACAAGGCAGUCUUCAGGGAACCCAUAUUUCAAUGAUCGUCUUUCCACUUUUAAAGAUCAGAACUCAAAGUUAAUGAAGUUGAACAAUGGCCAACUUGUUCUUCUUCUUUCAUCUAUUUGGAGUCAAGCAUCCCUGGAAGAUAACUCGCCUUCAAAUUUUGAGACAAUGGGCCAUACUUACAAUGUUGCUUUGUUGUGUUCAAAAGCAAAAACCUCCAGUCAUGUGGCACUAGUUCGAUGUUUCCAGUUGGCUUUUUCUCUCAGGAGGUUGUCUCUGAACCAAGAUAAUGUUGCGCAACCAUCUCGGAGAAGGUGUUUGUAUACAAUGGCAUCAGCAAUGCUUAUUUUUUCAGCAAAAGUUGCUGAUAUUCCUCAGAUAACCCAUCUUGUCAAAGCCGCAGUGCUAGAGGAAAUGGUUGAUCCUCAUCUUUGCCUGAUUGAUGACUGCAAACUCACUGUUACUUCUGCACAAUCUUCGAACAGUGGAAUGCUUUACGGUUCUGAGGAAGAUGAAAGUGAUGCACAAGUUUUUCUUUCAGCUGUAAAUAAGGAUGAUACACAGUUAAAAGACAUUGUGAUAUCCCACUUCAAGAGAAAAUUUGAAAAUUCACCAGAGAAGUUUGACGGGAUAGAAGAACAGCUUCUUCAAGAGUUCUCCCUAGAUGAUUCGUUUCCUCUUGGUGCUCCAUUAUUCAUGGAGACGCCACACUCUUGUUCAAUGUACGCUGAAAAGGAUGAUCACUGUUUUGACGAGGAUGUUAUUCCUUGUGAGAUGGAUGAUGACGAUGACAUCGUCUUUGAACAUAGUGGAUCGCAGUCUGACAGGAAAACAUCAGGAUCUAUGGCUUCAUCCGAUGUUCUAAAUGUGAAUCAACUGAUGGAAUCUGUCCAUGAGACAGCAAGGCAAGUUGCUAACAUUCCAGUCUCCACCAAUCCUGUGUCCUAUGACCAAAUGAAGAGCCAAUGUGAAUCCCUAGUAAUGGAAAAGCAGCAGAAGAUGUCUGUUCUCAUGAGCUUCAAGCACUCGAGGACCGAUUCGCGUAGCUCAAUCGGGGAAAACGGACCGGAAACAAAUGAGUCAUCUGCUCAAUCUGAACGUGAGUCGCAUUUGACAAGAAAGGACUACAUGCGGCGCAACGAUUCGACAUCCAGCGAUGACCGGUCCUUCAGAUUGCCACCUGCAAGCCCGUACGACAAGUUCUUGAAGGCAGCUGGACGGUAG
rnacentral:rRNA from 1 species